UACGGGGGGGGGCAAGCGUUGUUCGGAAUUACUGGGCGUAAAGGGCUCGUAGGUGGCCAACUAAGUCAGACGUGAAAUCCCUCAGCUUAACUGGGGAACUGCGUCUGAUACUGGAUGGCUUGAGUUUGGGAGAGGGAUGCGGAAUUCCUGGUGUAGCGGUGAAAUGCGCAGAUAUCAGGAAGAACACCCGUGGCGAAGGCGGCUCUCUGGGACGGUACUGACGCUGAGACGCGAAAGCGUGGGGAGCGAACAGG
rnacentral:rRNA from 1 species